GCCUGGUUAACAAAUAACCACGUCAAAUCUGUGAAGGUAAUGGCCCAAGUGUGAAAUGAAAUCCCCAGGUCAGGAGGCAGGGAUGCCAGGAUAGAAGACUAGGAGGCCCUGGCAACCACCAUUCUACCUUCUGUCUCUAUGGUUUUGACUACUCUUAAGCCUCUCACGAUGAAGAGCUAGUAUCUUACUCCGCCUCCUUCCUGUGGUGAGAGGUAACAGAAGAAAUAACGCUUCUGAAACGUUUCCUAAAUUAAGUUCAGCUAAUCUCACUUAAUUUCCUCUCAUGUAAAAUGUUUUCUGUUUACCAAUUAAAUUUGUUUGCCUUCUUUAGC
rnacentral:lncRNA from 1 species